GUGAACGCUGGCGGUAGGCCUAACACAUGCAAGUCGAACGGCAGCACAGUAAGGGCUUGCUCUUACGGGUGGCGAGUGGCGGACGGGUGAGGAAUACAUCGGAAUCUACUUUUUCGUGGGGGAUAACGUAGGGAAACUUACGCUAAUACCGCAUACGACCUACGGGUGAAAGCAGGGGAUCUUCGGACCUUGCGCGAUUGAAUGAGCCGAUGUCGGAUUAGCUAGUUGGCGGGGUAAAGGCCCACCAAGGCGACGAUCCGUAGCUGGUCUGAGAGGAUGAUCAGCCACACUGGAACUGAGACACGGUCCAGACUCCUACGGGAGGCAGCAGUGGGGAAUAUUGGACAAUGGGCGCAAGCCUGAUCCAGCCAUACCGCGUGGGUGAAGAAGGCCUUCGGGUUGUAAAGCCCUUUUGUUGGGAAAGAAAAGCAGCAGGUUAAUACCCCGCUGUUCUGACGGUACCCAAAGAAUAAGCACCGGCUAACUUCGUG
rnacentral:rRNA from 1 species